ACAAUGGGCGCAAGCCUGAUGCAGCCAUGCCGCGUGUAUGAAGAAGGCCUUCGGGUUGUAAAGUACUUUCAGCAGUGAGGAAGGUGGAUAUGUUAAUAGCAUAUUCAUUUGACGUUAGCUGCAGAAGAAGCACCGGCUAACUCCGUGCCAGCAGCCGCGGUAAUACGGAGGGUGCGAGCGUUAAUCGGAAUUACUGGGCGUAAAGCGCAUGCAGGUGGUUUGUUAAGUCAGAUGUGAAAGCCCGGGGCUCAACCUCGGAAUUGCAUUUGAAACUGGCAAACUAGAGUACUGUAGAGGGGGUAGAAUUUCAGGUGUAGCGGUGAAAUGCGUAGAGAUCUGAAGGAAUACCGGUGGCGAAGGCGGCCCCCUGGACAGAUACUGACACUCAGAUGCGAAAACGUGGGGAGCAAACAGGAUUAGAUACCCUGGUAG
rnacentral:rRNA from 1 species